rnacentral:rRNA from 1 species
UGCGUAGGCGGCUCUAUAAGUCAGUAGUGAAAUCUCGAAGCUCAACUUCGAACGUGCUAUUGAAACUGUAGAGCUUGAGUACAGACGAGGCAGGCGGAAUGUGUUGUGUAGCGGUGAAAUGCUUAGAUAUAACACAGAACACCGAUAGCGAGGGCAGCUUGCCAGACUGUAACUGACGCUGAGGCACGAAAGCGUGGGGAGCGAACAGGAUUAGAUACCCUGGUAGUCC